UACAGAGGUCUCAAGCGUUGUUCGGAUUCAUUGGGCGUAAAGGGUGCGUAGGUGGCGCUGUAAGUCGGGUGUGAAAUUUCGGAGCUUAACUCCGAAACUGCAUUCGAUACUGCGGUGCUUGAGGACUGGAGAGGAGACUGGAAUUCAUGGUGUAGCAGUGAAAUGCGUAGAGAUCAUGAGGAAGACCAGUGGCGAAGGCGGGUCUCUGGACAGUUCCUGACACUGGAGGCACGAAGGCCAGGGGAGCAAAACGGG
rnacentral:rRNA from 1 species